CUGUAACUGACGCUGAGGCGCGAAAGUGUGGGGAGCAAACAGGAUUAGAUACCCUGGUAGUCCACACUGUAAAACGAUGAAUGCUAGGUGUAGGAGGUACCGACCCCUUCUGUGCCGCAGUCAACACAAUAAGCAUUCCGCCUGGGGAGUACGGCCGCAAGGUUGAAACUCAAAGGAAUUGACGGGGGCCCGCACAAGCAGCGGAGCAUGUGGUUUAAUUCGACGCAACGCGAAGAACCUUACCAGGUCUUGACAUCCAGUAAAAACCUGAGGGAUCAGGUGUGUCUUCGGACAUACUGAGACAGGUGGUGCAUGGUUGUCGUCAGCUCGUGUCGUGAGAUGUUGGGUUAAGUCCCGCAACGAGCGCAACCCUUGUGUUCAGUUGCUAACAGGUGAAGCUGAGAACUCUGAACAGACUGCCGGGGACAACUCGGAGGAAGGUGGGGACGACGUCAAAUCAUCAUGCCCCUUAUGACCUGGGCUACACACGUGCUACAAUGGCCACCACAGAGAGGAGCAAGCCCGCAAGGGGGAGCAGAUCUCAAAAAAGUGGUCCCAGUUCGGAUUGUGGGCUGCAACCCGCCCACAUGAAGUCGGAGU
rnacentral:rRNA from 1 species